rnacentral:rRNA from 1 species
GAUGAACGCUGGCGGCGUGCCUAAUACAUGCAAGUCGAGCGAACGGACGAGAAGCUUGCUUUUCUGAUGUUAGCGGCGGGCGGGUGAGUAACACGUGGAUAACCUACCUAUAAGACUGGGAUAACUUCGGGAAACCGGAGCUAAUACCGGAUAAUAUUUUGAACCGCAUGGUUCAAAAGUGAAAGACGGUCUUGCUGUCACUUAUAGAUGGAUCCGCGCUGCAUUAGCUAGUUGGUAAGGUAACGGCUUACCAAGGCAACGAUGCAUAGCCGACCUGAGAGGGUGAUCGGCCACACUGGAACUGAGACACGGUCCAGACUCCUACGGGAGGCAGCAGUAGGGAAUCUUCCGCAAUGGGCGAAAGCCUGACGGAGCAACGCCGCGUGAGUGAUGAAGGUCUUCGGAUCGUAAAACUCUGCUAUUAGGGAAGAACAUAUGUGUAAGUAACUGUGCACAUCUUGACGGUACCUAAUCAGAAAGCCACGGCUAACUACGUG